GAUGAACGCUGGCGGCGUGCCUAAUACAUGCAAGUCGAGCGAACAGAUGAGGAGCUUGCUCCUCUGACGUUAGCGGCGGACGGGUGAGUAACACGUGUAUAACCUACCUAUAAGUCUGGGAUAACUUCGGGACACCGGAGCUUAUACCGGAUAAUAUAUUGAACCGCAUGGUUCAAUAGUGAAAUACGGCUUUUCUGUCACUUCUCGAUGGUUCCGCGCCGCAUUAGCUAGUUGUUAAGUUAACGGCUUACCAAGGCAACGAUGCGUAGCCGACCUGAGAGGGGGAUCGGCCACACUGGAGCUGGGACACGGUCCAGACGCCUAAGGGAGGGAGCAGUAGGGAAUCGGACGCAGUGGGGGAAAGCCUGACGGAGCAACGCCGCGUGAGAGAUGAAGGUCUUCGGAGCGUAAAGCUCUGUUAUGAGGGAAGAACAAAUGUGUAAGUAACUAUGCACGUCUUGACGGUACCUAAUCAGAAAGCCACGGCUAACUACGUG
rnacentral:rRNA from 1 species